AACCGACGCCUGUGGAGAUGCCCCAUUGCACAAAAAUGCGCGUUCCAAUUCUCGGGGAUAGGGCCGGCCGCGAAAUGGCAGAUGACCACAUUGCGGUGCGGCAGACCUAUCUUCUUUUGACCACGGCCAUCAUCGUGCGGUCUUCAAACCGAUUGGCUGGAGAUGUCGCCCAGGGCCUUAAUCAGAUCAGUGUCGCUAUGGGGCAUAGCCGUCGUCGCGGCAACCGCCAUCCACAACCUACUGCGUGAAUGAUUCGAAGUCUUUACAACCUCCUCGGCUCGGACGCUCGAUAGUAGGCCUGCAAACCCAAACGCUCGGCGAGAAAGGUCGAAGCAGCCUGCACCCCCGACGCAAAUCCAUCUCACCGGCUCGAAUUCCGACCGCAAAACGAUGCGCUCUUUAUCAUCUGGCACAUUCAUUCAGGUUCGGGAGACUGCGUUUGCUCGAGACGUAUUCACCAUGUGCAUUAAAGUCUUCUUUCUUAUAGAUUCAAAACGCGAACCUGCGGAUAUAGAGGGAAUGCAGGCGGUGAUCGCGAAGGCUGUCAGUGACCGGCCCC
rnacentral:misc_RNA from 1 species